UACAAACAUUACAAAUGAGAGGAGAGUCUCCCGGAAAUCAGAGGGAAUAUUCCGGAGGGGCAUGCCCGGAGUGAGCCACACUCAAUGUGACAGCCGCAGAACACACAUUAUUAAGGAUUACCAAGAGAAAAGUACCAACCAAGUACCAAGGAUGGUGGAAAUCUAUCUACCAAUGGGUGAGAUCUUCACUGGAGCGAUCCGAUGGAACGACGGCUUCUUCUGUGGCGGACGCCGGCCUUCAUUUGGAGCUGCUGCCUGGCAUCUCAAAUGGAGACCAAAUGGAUCUGGUGGGUGGGAGCUGGCCCGUCUGCUGAUGGCGUCUCUGCUCCGCCUUAAAAAGUUACCCUUGUAAGAGUAACUGCAGGGCACACCGUGAUGGUUUAACAACACAUUACAUCUGACCUGAUGAAGAAAAUCAAUGAACUAACCACUGACUCCACCCAUUACAAUGUAGCAAGAUGGUAAAAAAUGAAAGUACCGAAGUUAAAAUUACUACAAUGAAAUUAUAAUAGACAUUGUAAAACUGUGGAUUUGAAGGUUUUUUUUUUUUUCGUAUCUUGUUUUUGUUACAAGAAUGAGCUCUUUUCUCAAAGUAAAUGAGUAUAAAAUGUUUUUUCUUUUCUCUUCUGGUGAAUCCUUUAUUGUUCAUCCUUAUGCCGUUUGGUUGAAUUUCAAUUGUUUCAAAGUAUGCAAAUGUAUUGAGCUCUAAUAUAUAUAUAUAUAUAUGUAUAUAUAAAAGGUUGAAUGCCCCAAAGUGAGACCUUACCACUCAUUGUGUGUAGAUGAAUCCACCUUCUUUUUUUCUCAUUUUCUAGCCAAACGUAAAUGUCCAGUGUGAUAUCAAACGAGUUAAUCUGAGACGUUUCACCAAGAAGGCUGCCUCUUUGAAUCAAAGCCCGGGUUCGGUUAAUAGGCCCUCCAACUGUUUGGCUCCUGUAAUUCGAGUGUUCACAGGGGACGGCGCUUCACAGCGGCACUCGGAGUCGAAUUAUUAGCUCGACUGAUGAUGGAUUUAAAAGUAAAUCAAGAAAUGGCAUGUUCCAUAAGAGCGCGCCAUCAAAAAGACCAAAGAGGUGUUUGCUCUCUCCGCUCGACUUUCAACUCCCUUUUUAGUCUCCAGGCUCCUUUUUCCUCGGAUCUUUGUCUCUCCAGGAACGGUGCAACAGUAGAGCGCCGCUCUAUGAUUUAUUCAUUGUUGUGUUUUUUUUUUUUUUGCCUUCUCCUUGAAUGUUUUGUGGAGAGGACGGGAAACUUUGAACCGGAGUACAAAGCAAUGUAUAUUUGGGUCUACACAUUUUUCCGUGUGUGUGUGCGCUCGCCUCCGUCUUCUGAGGGUGAGGACGGGGACUGGGUCGGCUCCUCCGCUCGGCGCCGCGCUCGUCCUUGAAGUGGGAGUCAGCGGGGCGCCUCGAUCCGAGAGAGGAGGGAGAGUGGUUGGGAGUUAAAUAAUGGAUGGUAUUGAAAUAAAACAGAGGGAACGGAGGGGAGCCAUUACCUGGGUGCUAAAGACCCAAUCUUGGAGUUGAGGGGUAGUGGGAUACUGACCCUGUUUGGUUCCUGAUAUCAUCACCUGAUGUCACGAUAUUGUUUUUUUUUUUUUUUGCAUCUCACCUGCACGGAAUCAACAUAUUCACACCUGAAAUGAGCUCGCCUCUGAUGAAGGAGGUGUUGAGAACAGUCGUGGAGGGUGUGAGUUAUCCUAACAGGUUAGGAACCGGCAAGCAUCAAGUUGUGAUGAUCAAUCCCAGAUCGGUGGGAAAACAAACAAGCAUGGAGGAGACUUCCCUCAAACGGGACGCUCUUAUCCUUGUCUUUGUUUCCCACAAUGCAAAGCAACACAAUCUCCUUAAAGGCUUCGAAAUUAACAGGCUCGUUCAUACUCGGAAGUCUUGGUAGAAUACUUUGCUGAGACCGUUUCAAGAACAGAAGUGAGGAAACAUGGUCGAGUUCCCAGUUGGGAAGAGAGUAGCUGCUAAUAAGGCGUAGGGUGAGAGGCUUUGGGAAAGCUCCCCGUGGCGCUGGACUGUAAUGGAGAUAAGCGCCGCGGCGUUGCUGUCUCAACAAAGGGAACCGGGGAUGAGAGAUUUGCGGACACAAGCAAGGGCUUUGGCGGCAAAAGCUGAAGGGAGAGAGCUACUCGUCUCACUUCUGUGAAGAACAAUCGUCUCCAGACGAGGGAAAACCGGACCCGGCCCUCUUGCAUAAGUGGAACCAAUCUGGCGAUCCUCAGUAGCGGUAGCCCCGGUUCCUGGUCAGGAGCUGCGAUCCAGAAAAAGGGGUUCAGUUUGCUGCGUUCAAGAGAGAAGAUUUGAGAGUUUCUGGGGGUCUUGAGAAGAGAUUGAUACGUGGUUGGAGAUCAAGAACUUACAGGGAUAUAGUUGGAAAUACAAAGCCAAACAUGUAUUGCUACGUCCCAUCAGACUCUGGAAUUAGGUACUGAGCAUUUGGAUAUCAAUCCGAUACUAGUCAAUAUUGAUAUCAAUAUCAAUACCGAUAUUGGUUGAUAAACG